AAACUCAAAGGAAUUGACGGGGGCCCGCACAAGCGGCGGAGCAUGUGGCUUAAUUCGAGGCAACGCGAAGAACCUUACCUGGGUUGAACUACGCAGGAAAAGCCGUAGAGAUACGGUGUCCGAAAGGGUCCGCGAUAGGUGGUGCAUGGCUGUCGUCAGCUCGUGUCGUGAGAUGUUGGGUUAAGUCCCGCAACGAGCGCAACCCUUGUCCUAUGUUGCCAGCGGGUAAUGCCGGGGACUCGUAGGAGACUGCCGGGGUCAACUCGGAGGAAGGUGGGGACGACGUCAAGUCAUCAUGCCCCUUACGUCCAGGGCUGCACACAUGCUACAAUGGCCGGUACAAAGGGCUGCUAUCCCGCGAGGGUGAGCGAAUCCCAAAAAGCCGGUCUCAGUUCGGAUCGCAGUCCGCAACUCGACUGCGUGAAGUCGGAGUCGCUAGUAAUCCCGGAUCAGCAACGCCGGGGUGAAUANGUUCCCGGGCCUUGUACACACCGCCCGUCACACCACGAAAGUCGGCAACACCCGAAGCCGGUGGCCCAACCGUAAGGAGGGAGCCGUCGAAGGUGGGGUCGGUGAUUNNNNNNNGGUCGUAACAA
rnacentral:rRNA from 1 species